rnacentral:rRNA from 1 species
UGGGGGAUAUUGCACAAUGGGCGAAAGCCUGAUGCAGCGACGCCGCGUGGGGGAUGAAGGCUUUCGGGUUGUAAACCUCUUUCGCUAUCGAACAAGGCCCGCUUAGGGUGGGUUGAGGGUAGGCGGAGAAGAAGCGCCGGCUAACUACGUGCCAGCAGCCGCGGUAAUACGUAGGGCGCGAGCGUUGUCCGGAAUUAUUGGGCGUAAAGGGCUUGUAGGCGGCUUGUUGCGCCUGCUGUGAAAACGCGGGGCUUAACUUCGCGCGUGCAGUGGGUACGGGCGAGCUUGAGUGUGGUAGGGAUGACUGGAAUUCCAGGUGUAGCGGUGGAAUGCGCAGAUAUCUGGAGGAACACCGAUGGCGAAGGCAGGUCACUGGGCCAUUACUGACGCUGAGGAGCGAAAGCAUGGGUAGCGAACAGG